UGAGGAAUUUUGCGCAAUGGGAGCAAUCCUGACGCAGCAACGCCGCGUGAGUGAUGAAGGCCUUCGGGUCGUAAAGCUCUGUCAGGUGGGAAGAACAUCCACGACACGAAUACUGUUGUGGAGUGACGGUACCACCAGAGGAAGCACCGGCUAACUCCGUGCCAGCAGCCGCGGUAAUACGGAGGGUGCGAGCGUUAUUCGGAAUUACUGGGCGUAAAGCGCGUGUAGGCGGGAAGACAAGUCUGAUGUGAAAGCCCCGGGCUUAACCUGGGAAGUGCAUUGGAAACUGUUUUUCUUGAGUACUGGAGAGGAAGGGGGAAUUCCCGGUGUAGAGGUGAAAUUCGUAGAGAUCGGGAGGAAUAUCAGUGGCGAAGGCGCCCUUCUGGACGGAUACUGACGCUGAGACGCGAAAGCGUGGGGAGCAAACA
rnacentral:rRNA from 1 species